rnacentral:lncRNA from 1 species
GGCCGAGGCUGUGAGAGGAGGAAGAUAGGCGUAUACCGGUGCAAAAGCAACACAGGUGAACACUAUAUUUCAAGUUCCUUCUAAAAUGACAGGAUGAUUAGAUUAUAACUCCUGUGUGAAGAAAUCAGUGGAGGAAGCACCAGAAAUAUAUGGAUAUAUUGUGGAGGAAGUGUACAUUUACUUUACAGUGAUGUCAGUAUCAUGCUUUGUGUUGUACACAUUUAUGGGAUAUUUUAGGAUUCAGUGACUUAUGAUGAUGUGCAUGUGAACUUCACUAAAGAAGAGUGGGAUUUGCUGGAUCCUUCCCAGAUGAAUCUCUACAAAGACGUGAUGCUGGAGACCUACUGGAACCUCAUUGCUAUAGGCUACAAUUGGGAAGAUCAUCAUAUUGAAGAACAAUGUCAAAGUUCUAAAAGUCAUGAAAGGAAUGUAAGAAGUCAUAGUGGAGAGAAACCCUAUGAAUGUAAUAAGUGUGGUAAAGCCUUUGCAAGACCCAUUUAUCUCCAAAAUCAUAAAAGAACACAUACUGGAGAGAAAGCUUAUGAAUGUAAUCAAUGUGAUGAAGCCUUUGCAAGACCCAGUCAACUCCAAAGACAUAAAAGAAUGCAUACUGCGGAGAAACCCUAUGACUGUAAUCAGUGUGGUAAAGCCUUUGCAAGACCCAGUCAUCUCCAAUAUCAUAAAAGCACACAUACUGGAGAUAAACCUUAUGAAUGUAAUCAAUGUGGUAAAGCCUUCGUAUGGCACAGUCAUCUCCAAAUACAUAAAAGAACACAUAGUGGAGAAAAACCUUAUGAAUGUAUUCUAUGUGGUAAAGCCUUUGCAAUACCCAGUCAUCUCCAAAGACAUAAAAGCAUACAUACUGGAGAGAAACCUUAUGAAUGUAAUCAAUGUGGUAAAGCCUUUUCACAGGGGAGUCAUCUCCAAUAUCAUAAAAGAACACAUACCGGAGAGAAAGCUUAUGAAUGUAAUCAAUGUGGUAAAGCCUUUUCACAGGGGAGUCAUCUCCAAUAUCAGAACACAUACGGGAGAGAAAGCUUAUGAAUGUAAUCAAUGUGAUGAAGCCUUUGCAAGACCCAGUCAACUCCAAAGACAUAAAA